rnacentral:rRNA from 1 species
UACGAAGGUCCCAAGCGUUAUCCGGAUUUAUUGGGUUUAAAGGGUGCGUAGGCGGGUUAUUAAGUCAGUGGUGAAAGCUCCAUGCCUAACAUGGAAAUUGCCAUUGAUACUGAUGAUCUUGAGUACAUUUGAAGUGGGCGGAAUGUGUCAUGUAGCGGUGAAAUGCUUAGAUAUGACACAGAACACCGAUUGCGUAGGCAGCUCACUAAACCUGUAACUGACGCUGAGGCACGAAAGCAUGGGGAGCAAACAGG